AAUAUUGCGCAAUGGAGGAAACUCUGACGCAGCGACGCCGCGUGAGCGAUGAAGGUCUUCGGAUCGUAAAGCUCUGUCCUUGGGGAAGAAGAUCGAAAGAUUUGACGGUACCCGAGGAGGAAGCCCCGGCUAACUACGUGCCAGCAGCCGCGGUAAUACGUAGGGGGCAAGCGUUGUCCGGAAUUAUUGUGCGUAAAGGGUGCGUAGGCGGCUUUUUAAGUCAGAUGUGAAAGACCACGGCUUAACCGUGGGGUUGCAUUUGAAACUGGAAGGCUUGAGUAUCGGAGAGGGUAGUGGAAUUCCCAGUGUAGCGGUGAAAUGCGUAGAUAUUAGGAGGAACACCAGUGGCGAAGGCGACUCUCUGGACUGCAACUGACGCUGAGGCACGAAAGCGUGGGGAGCGAACAG
rnacentral:rRNA from 1 species